AUUGAACGCUGGCGGCAGGCUUAACACAUGCAAGUCGAACGAGUGGCGGACGGGUGAGUAAUGCUUGGGAAACUAGCUUAUGGAGGGGGAUAACUACGGGAAACUGUCUAUAAUACCGCAUACCAUAGGAUGAGCCCAGGUGGGAUUAGGUAGUUGGUGAGGUAAAGGCUCCCCAAGGCGACGCUCUCUAUCUGGUCUGAGAGGAUGACCAGCCACACUGGAACUGAGACACGGUCCAGACUCCGACGGGAGGCAGCAGUGGGGAAUAUUGCGCAAUGGGGGCAACCUGACGCAGCCAUGCCGGGUGUAUGAAGAAGGCCUUCGGGUUGUAAAGUACUUUCGGGAGCGAGGCGUUAACUACAGAAGAAGCACCGGCUAACUCCGUGACAGCAGCCGCGGUAAUUC
rnacentral:rRNA from 1 species